AAAAGAUUCAAAAACCCCGCCCGUUUUCUAGUCAGUCCCGUGACGUCAGCCCGUCCAAUCACAGCUGAGCUGAGCUGAGCUUCACUCAAAGAGUCACGAAAAACAACAGGUAAGCAUUUCAAGCUUCUUUAUUCCUAUUCAAACUAGAGCUUUUGAACAUUUAUGAUUUAUUGUCGUAUCUUAUUAUUUGAAGAUUAACCAGCUCAGCAACGCUAAUGUAUUAGCUAGCAAAGAUGACAUGACAUCAAAGUUAUCAACAGCAAUUGUUAAAUAUGCAGUGUUUUACACCACAGUUAGUCAGUGAAAAUAUAAAAAAUAUUUUUUGUGCUUUUCUCAGUUGGAUACAGACAAACAAUUCUGGUGAUUUUUUUAAACCAGUAAACCAGAAAGAUGGCUGACAGAAAACCGACACUCACGCCGUGGAGAAACUAAAGCAACAGGCAAAGGCAUAGUGGAGUGCUGGGAUGUCAAAGGCAACAAGAUGGCUGCAAUACUACAAGCCUAAAUUGAAGAAAAGGAGCCUGAGCAGGUGCAGAAGGCAGCAGUCCCCAUCAUUGCUGCUGAGGAGGAAGAGGAAAUGUCACGAGGGAAACCACUGGAUGUUUUGAUUGUCUUUGAAGAUGAAGAGGUGAUGUCAACCAAGUCUAGGGUUACCAGAUAAGGAUCUACACCUGUUACCAAUUUGGGACUCUGUUUAAGGUGUCUGGCCUUUGUUGGAGGUGAAGCUUUCGUCCUUAUCCUGCAGUUGUGCUCCGAAGCUGGACCUUCACUUUGUUAAUUGUUUGUUUCUUUAUUGCUGUUCAUCCCCUGGACUUAAAUAUAUAUUCUAUUGUUAAUAUACUAUUGGACUUAGAACCCUUUUUGUUGUUGCGUCCUUGAGUCGGAUGUAACAACUGGGGGCUCGUCCAGGAUGUAACACCCUCAUUUAGAGUACACUAACUUCUCAAAGCAGCUUUACAGAAAAUGCAUGUCUACAUUACAAUUUAGCCUGAUCUGUACUAUAAUUACUAGAGUUUUCAACUUGAAUAGUGUUGUAUCAUAUGAUUUAUAGUGAUGCUACAUGGGUGUACUCACUUCUGUUGUAUACUGUAUGUUUGACUAAUACACUGGAAGAUGGCAGAUAUUAACUUUUUUUUCUGGCGGGGAUGGAGAUGAGAUAUAUGCCACGUUCCAGGGAACCCGUAACCCGUGUUUUUCCAACCUUCUACCCGUGAAAGUGCACUGGAACGGCAGUCAAACCCAUGACUUCCCACCCGUGAUCUCGUACUAUAUCGAUGUACUCCCAGUUCCGAGCUCUGAUGUCACAUAGCCCUGCAAAACAUUGGCAGCCUCUACGGAUAAUAUUGCCUACGGAUGCUGUGUUUAUGCAAGUGGUACACAGUGAGAAAUAGACUUUAGGACAAUAAAGCGUUGCAAUAAAAUUAAUAAUCUAGCUAC
ensembl:lncRNA